UUUUUUUUUUUUUUUUUUAUUUUGGUUUUGGAUAAAUUACAAUAGUACUAGUUGAUUUGUGAUAACAUAUUUAUAGAUUUGAUGCUUAUCUCGGGGAGAGGACUAACAAGAGUUUCAAAUAUAAAAAGUGUUGAGAUUUUUUUCUUUUUUUUUUUUUUAAAUAAGAUGGUGAGUUUAGAUAUGUCAAAUUUUUAUAAUUUUUUUCCCGUUUUCUUGUCAAUUUGUAGAGCAUUAUGGGGAAUAAUUAUUAUAGCACUUUUUGUGGUAUAUAAUAUGUGAAAUAAAGAAGUAGUUGGUUAUACAAAAAAAUUAUUGAAAUUUGUGUUUUAAAAAAUUUUGGUAUCCCAACGUACCUGUUUUUUUCCCCACUUUUUAAGCAAGUUAUAAUGGAAAUGAGGAAUUUUGGGGGAAGUAGUUCAAUGCUUCGUUAGAAAAGGAUGCAAAAACAAUAUGCACAUCAUAGAAUGACUAACCAGAUAAAUGACUAUUUGGGGGGGGCUAUCCAAAUAAAUGACUAACCAGAUAUGCUGUCUGUAAGACCUGCAGGAGAUACACAAUUAUACAAAAGGAUGUCUCCAAGCCCAAUCCUUGUAAAUCAUUCAGAAAUCAUCCAGGAGAUGCUUCCCCAGUUGCUGGUUGCAUUAGCCUGGACCACUCAAUUCGCUAUAUUCAUGAAACAAAACCAUCUUCCCUUUUCCUGAAACUUCAACCACGUUCUAAGGAUAUAACAUCAAAUCCUUCAGCAAUGUCACUAAAUUUGGUGCACCAUACCCAACAUUUAACUUUACAUUUCUCAUUUAGCUGAACUGUGCGAAUAAAACCGGUCAACCUUGACGGUCCCCUUAAUAACAGGUUCCAAGUUAAAUAGUUGAAUUGAUAUCUUUUUUUGUCCUACCAAUAGUCCCGACAAGAACAUAAACCACCUUUGAAGUGGUGAAAACGAGUAGCAUCCCUUAAAAUAAUUUCUCUCUCCACAAGUUUGGAAAUGAAUUUAAUAGCAGAGUGACAGUCAUUACAAACUCUAAGGUUCUUCAUGAUCCUUAAAGUGGAUUUUUCUGGAGUAUUUAUCAAACCAAAUGUUAUAGCAAGUUUCUCACUGUGAUGUCUAAGAAUCUGUUCUUUCACUUCGUUAUCAAGAUCAUGCAGCACUGACUCCAUGUCUGGAACAAAACCCAUUUUUUUUAUCUCUUUCCAGAUUUUGUCCAUAACCCGGUAAAUUGCAUCUCUCUGUGGGUGAAGUGCAUCUUCUACCCCAAAUACAUGAACUUCACUUUUAAUCUGAAUCCAACUAAAUCCUUGCUCUUUCUUUACCUGUCUAUCUUUCAUUGACUUUCUGACCAAAGCAGCUUCUUGCCAUCUUCCACAGGCAGAAUAAGCAUUAGCAAGUGCUGUAAAGGCCCCACUGUGAUCUGGCUCAAUUGAAAGCAAUUUCUCAGCUGCUACAGUUGCUAGCUCUGCAUUCUUAUGAAUCUUGCAAGAAGCUAAAAGCGAUCCCCAAGCUAUAACAUCUGGCUGAAUUGGCAUGUUCUGAAUGAAACAUUGUGCUUCCUGUAGCAAUCCAGCACGUCCAAACAGGUCAAUCAUGCAAGCAUAGUGGCUUGUGGUGGGUACAAUUCUAUGUACAUCUUGCAUCAUCUUGUAGUAUCUACGGCCUUGUUCAACCUUCCCCACAUGUGUGCAGGCAGAAAGAACACCUACAUAAGUGAUAUGGUCUGGCUUAAUACUCAAUCCCAGCAUCUUCUCAAACAGUUGAAUGGCUUCAUCUGCAACUCCAUGUUGAGCUAAAGCUAUGAUCAUGGAUGUCCAAGAGACAUGGUCUCUUUUCCAAUUUAUUAGGUUGAAUAAUCUCUUUGCACUACCAAUGCUACCAGCCUUUGAAUACAUGGUAAUUAAAGCAUUGCUCACAGAUACAGACGAUGCUUCCAAUGAUUUCAAGGCCACUGCAUGGAUCUGCUUGCCAUGAUUCAAUGAAGCCAAGCUUGAACAAAUGCUUAGCAUAGCUGCUAGAGUGAAAUUAUUAGGUUUUGGACCUUCUCUUAUCAUCAAUCUAAAAAGUGCCAUCCCUUCGUCAUAAAAGCCAUUCUGCACAUAACCUACAAUCAUUGCCGUCCAAGCAACCACAUCACGUUCUUCUAAUGAGUCAAAGAUCACCCUUGCUGGAUUGAUAUCUCCAAUCUUGAUAUAUCCAUCCAGUAAAGCUGUAAAUGCUACAAUAUCUAGAUUUGAUAUUCCACUUUGGCGUACAACUUUUUGAGCAAUUUCAACACAGCCACACUUAGAGUACAUCGAGAUUAAAGCAUUCCCAACAGCCCCAGAAGUACCAAAACUGGUCCUAACAAUAUGACCAUGAAUUUGCUUUCCUGAAGUAACAUUCUGAGUAUUUGCACAAGCAGAUAAAACACUAGCUAGGGUGUACUUAUCAGGCAACAGGUCAGUGCCAUUGACCAUGUUGGAGAACAUGUCCAGAGCUUCAUUAUCAAAACCAUGCUGAUUGUAACCUGUAAUCAUUGAGUUCCAAGAAACAAUAUCACGUUCUUUCAUCUGAUCAAACUGAGCAAGUGCAAGAUCAACCUCACCAUGCUGCAUGUGCAAGGAAAUCAUCCAAUUCCAGCUUGAGACAUUCUUUAACUCUAUCCUGUCAAAUGCCACCUUUGCAGUACCAACAUCACCAGACUUUGAAUACAUAUUUAACAAUGAAUUUGCUACAGCUACAUUGCCACCAAACCCGAGUUUAAGAACAAAAGAAUGCACCUUGCUACCGAUAUGUAACCCUUUAAUUGCACCACAAGCUGCAAGUACAUUAGUAAAAGUAUAUUGGGUUGGAAGAAUUCUACUCAAUACCAUCUUACAAAACAUCCUUACAGCAUCCUCAGAACGCCCCAGUUGAUUAUAGCCCACGAUCAUUGUAGUCCACGAAACAGAAUCAUAUUCAGGCAUCUCAUUAAAAAGAGAAAUUGCUUCACGAAUCAUGCCUCGUUUUGCAUAUGCAGACAAGAGCGUGUUCCAUGAAGAUGUGUUUCUCACAGGCAUUUCAUCGAAAACCUUAACAGCAUCGGGGAUGAACCCAGAUUUUGCAUAUACAUUUAUGAGAUUAUUCAUCACAAAGAGUCCUAAUUGAAGCCCAGACUUGAUGAUUUGGGCGUGGAUUGAUCUUGCUGCUACAGGGUCUUUGCUUUUGAGACUUGUUUGGAGGAGGGAUAUGUAGAGAUUUGACUGAGAGGCCCAUGAUUGCAUUCUUCGGGUUUGGACUUGUACUAACUUAGACGAUUAAUUACCACUCUUAUGGCGUCUGAUUCUCAUUGAAAUUAGAAGGUUUCGGUGGUAUUUUGAAACUUAAUGGCUGAGAGUUUUGAAAAGCAAGAACAUGCGGGAAAUGCAGAGGAGGCUUUUAUGGCGCCAAAAUUGGAGGGCUCUUCCUAACGGUCAAGAUGCUUCCUUUAAAAUAUCUCACUUUAUAUAUAUAUUUUUUCCCCUAAAGAAAAAGUAGAAAUCAGAAAGAAAAAUAAUAAAGGGAUAAAAGGAAUUAAAAUAGUACCUAAUAAGUGAUGAAUGGAAAAUUUACAUAAUAGGCCUUUAAAUUGUAGUCAUCCAAAAGUUAUCAUCUCCCCAACAAAGAAUAAUAGUGUUACCAACACAAGUUGACUCAAUUGAUAAGAACGAUCACUUAUUCAUAGAAGGUUGCCGUUGACAUGAAAAUUGUAUUGAUAAGUGAUUUAUAAGAAUCUCUAUAAGCGAUCUAUGGUUCUGAAAGCACGCAUUUAUCUAUGGUAGUGAUUGAAGAGCCAAACUGACCCAAAUUUCUCUUAUAAAAUAAAGAAGAAUACUGUUCGAUUAAUUGAAAAUAAAUAAAUAAAGUAUACUCUGAUUUUCCAUCGCCGGUUUGCUCAGCUGGUUAAAUACUCUAAUGCCAAGGUCGGAAAACGAAUCUUUGUUUAGGAUGAUAGUAAAUUGCACUAGACAUAGGUUACAGUUCCUACUGCAAUCUUACAAUUUAAAAAAAAAAAAGGUAUUCUCUAAAUUUUCUUGUUAGUUUGAAGUCUUUUGGACAAUUGGACUCAAUAACAAGGAAUUCAUCUCUAACAAUUAGACAAAUAUUUUGGUGAAGGUUAUUGUUGAACAAAUGAACAUUCCCUCUACUCAAUAGCUUUCAUUUGAUAUAGAAAUUGGACAUAAUAUUUAUUGGCACAACAAUAAAAAAUGGGCAUAUACUAUUUCACUAGAGCCCUGAAAAAAUGACUCCUUAUAAAGUCAAAAACCCGCAGGAAAACCACCCUUUCUUGGAUCACUCACUGCCACAAGCUCAUUAGACUCCAGAUCUUGAACCACAAAUUGGCAAAUUGUCCCACCUGCAACACUUUUUAGUACAUGGCCUCUUUUCUUCAGGAAACUCCUUGUUUCCUCAGGAACUUCAAAGUGAUCUCCGGUCACUACUUUCCAGUCUUCAUAAUUCACCACAUUAGGGAUCAGCUGCAUUUGCAUGAGCAUUCAGUGUAUGAGUAAAAAUAAGCAACUACAUUUGUAAUAGACUGAGUCUCAAAUUAUAAGCAUCUGAAGAUGUAUGAGAGAUAUCUUAUUGUUUAAUCAUCAAGAAUUUAAUGAGUUUUGUUGCUGUUCAGCAAGAAGUCAAGCAAAUUUGAAACAAUUUCGAACAUAAGCAAAAAAAAUGUACUUAGGAAAAGAAGGGCUGAAUGCAGAAUUUUGCAACCGAAUAAUGAGUAAUCACCUCAUGAUAAAACCUUGGAGCCAUGACAGAAGCCAGAGGAUCCAUCCCAUUAACAAAAUAGUUCAAGAAUACCUCUGCUGUUCCUGCAAUUAUCUUGGAUCCUCCACUUGCACCUACAACAGCCUUCAACUUUCCUCCCUGUUUUUCGCAUCAUUCAUGAUAAAGGGCUCUAGUUUAGGUCCAAUCAUGUUGAGUCUUGGGAAGGGACGAGACAAGCCUUGGCAUUGUAGUUUUUAAGUUGAUCAAAUGGAAAGGACUUGGUCGAAUUACCUGGAGAACAAUUGUAGGUGACAUGGAUGACAGAGGUCUUUUGCCUGGAUGAACAAAGUUGGCCGGCGCUGGUGGAGGCUCAUCUGUAGAAGCAUUAUCAGGCAUGGAGAAGUCAUCCAUUUCAUUGUUGAGGACUAUGCCAGUAGAUGGUGAAAGAAAUUUAGCACCAAAGUAUCCAUUUAUGGUAUUAGUCAUUGACACAGCAUUUCUGUCAGUGUCCACAAUUGACACAUGGCUAGUUCCAUGGUCAUGGAUUUGAUUCCACCUAGUUGGGAGCAAGGAUUCAGCAAGAGCAAAAUUAUGAGAAUACAACUGUAAGCAACUUGCUAAAAUGUAACAGUAACAGGUUGAAAAGGUUGAUAAUGAUCAUACUAACACAUGCUUGAAAAUCCAGACAGAUCUUUAGUUGAUAGAAUCAAAUUAUGUGGGUAAUUGAUAAAGUUCUCUUAGAUGGUUAAAACAGUGAGAGAGUGCAGGAUCUGAAAUUGUACAAUUGGAGACUAGCUGCUUAAUUACCUGCCACCAUAAUGAGGAGGGCUAAAGGUCAUAUUGUCAUUGAUGGUCUUCUGCAACUCUUGUGCAAAUUCCAUUGAGAGCAUAUCAUUUAAGACAUCUUUGAUGUUAACGAAAUCUGGAUCUCCAAGGUUCAUUCUCACGGCAAAUGCAUGCUUUAAAGCCUCAAUCGUUCUGUGUGCCAAGAGGGGAUUAGAGCUAUUCACAGAACUUCCAUAUUGUGCUAGAAUAUUUAGUGUCUGACAUCAAAAUUUAACAGAUUCAAUGUCCAAUGCAAAUUUCAGAAGCAUUAUAUUGAAAAUGAAGCAAAAAAGUAAAGGUGAUUUACUUACAAGAACCAUUGCAGCACCUCCAGAAGAAGGAGGAGGCAUUCCGAGUAUUUCAACCCCCAGGAUAUUGGUAGAGAUUGGUUCUCUGAUCUUAACUUGGUAACGCUGCAUGUCGUCCAGGCUGAGUAUUCCUCCAGCGUCCUGGACAUCUUUAACCAAGUCAUAUGCAAUUGUCCCAUUGCAGAAAGAUUUCAAUUCAUCCUUUGAAACUUUGAUCAGUGUGUCUGCUAGUUUUCGGUUGUAACAUCUAUCCCCUGGCUGCAAGAGGCUGCCAUUCGAUGUAAAAAUCUCUCGAAGUCCUUUAUCUGCCAGAAUUUCUGAUUCUGUUGCAACCAUUUGCACGUGGAGAUAUGGUGAAAUCCUGAAUCCAUGGCAAGCAAAAUAUGCUGCAGGCCUGACAAGCCUACUCCAAGGAAGCCUUCCAUACUGCUUCCAAGCCUCGUGGAGACCUACCAAUUCCCCUGGAACUGCUACAGAAAGCGCACCAGCAGCUUUAAUCGUUUCAUUUCCCGAGUACAUAUUCUGUACAAAAAGCAAAAGAAAUGGGCUUAAGAUCAGAUAAUUCUCUAUCUUCUGGCUAGCCAAAUUUUUCAAAGAGGAAUAAAUCAUCAGGUCGAUACAUUGGACUUUUAUGUACCUGGGAAGCUCUUUUUGGAGCGGUUUCUCUCAUAUCAAAAGCCUCAGCUUUCCCAUCAGCUGAUCGAACAAUCAGAAAUCCACCUCCACCAAUGCCACUAGAGGCCGGGCUAACAACACCCAAGCAAAGGGCAGCAGCAACUGCUGCAUCAACAGCAUGACCUCCUUCGCGAAGAACAUCUCUUCCAACUUUGGAGCAUCGACCAUCAUCCGUGGCAACAACACCAUGUUUUCCUCUUAUCUGUUCCUUUCUCUUGGUUGUUGAUGCCGUCUCGAGGCUUGAGCUCCAACUCAAAGGAGUCAGCAGCAAAAGCAACAGGGCUACAGAUGCCAGCCAUGGUGUGCAUCUAGCUGAAAAAUUCAUGGGGGAGAUGAUCUCGCAAAAACUUCAAAUGAUGAUCAAAAUGCACAUUUUUGGCCUAGCCAUAUUUCUCUAGCGCAAGUCAACUUCAGAGGAAAAAUGCUGAUAAGGCAUCUUAACUGUAAACCAUUAACUCUACUUUUGUUACAUCCUUCCACUGGAUUACAGGGAAAUUUCCAGGAGCCAUGUGUUUUCAUGUGAUCAACCAAACAGAACUUGUGGAAAAGGAAGAACAAUACACAAAUUUGAUGUGGCACGGCUAAAAGUUGAGGCUGAGGACAGAUUGCGGGAUCGUAGAAAGUGGGAAGAGUUUAUGACAACCUCAGUUGACCGUCUCUGUACCUCAACACGACUCUUUAUGAAUUGAACAUUUGUGAAAUUACCAAUAUAACCUAGUACCGAAUAGAAGACGCGUCAAUAUGACCCAAGUGUGAUAUGGCAAAAGAUAAUUACCCUUUUCGUCCUUGACCUUUGUCUCUUGUUCUGAUUUGGUCCUUGAUAUCUUUUAUUUCACAUCUAAUACCUUGGGCACCGUUUGGAUUGAAGGAAAGUAAAGGAAAGGAAAUGAGAGCAUUCCAGUGGAAAAGAACAGAAAGGAGAGUAGAAGAAAUCGGAGUUCAUUUAUCUUGCUUGGCUUACGGAAGGAAAGGAAAAGAAACUAUCAUGCGUUGUUUACAUUUUUAUCUAUAAUUUAAAAAUUCAAUUUAUGAAUGCAUAAUAUAUUUUUUUAGCAAAUUUUAAAAUUGAUUAAUCUUAAUGUCCUUUCCCUCAACUUCCACUUACUUUUGGAUGGAAAGCAGACUAACAAAAAAUAACUAAAUCUUAUCCCUCCCUUUCCCUCCCAAUCCUUUCAAUUCUUUUCUCAAAAACCAAUCCAAACACCAAAAACCUUAUCUUUCCCUUUCCUUUCCUCCCAUUCCCUCAAAACAAACAGUGCCUAACGUAUUGCGAAUCUUCUUCUUCUUCUUCUUCUUCUUUUUUUGUGUUACUUACAAUUUUGUAAAAUGCUUAUAUUGCUACUUUUGGCACGUGUGCCUAAUCCUGCCAAUUGUUGCACACAUAUGAGGUGCAAAAGAAUUUGAGGGAAAUGAAUGAUUAAUGAAGAUAUAAUAGUUAUAGAAGCAAAAGUUAUAGUGCCAUAAGAAUGUGGUUUCCCUUAUUGGACAGCACAUCCCAAUUUUGGAAAAAAAAGAUAGAAUAGAUAAUGCAUUUUUACUGUGUCAUAUAUCGACUGAUCCUGUCAAGUGUGGAAUCCUAAAAUAUGGUACGUACAAAUAUUAAAAAAAAAAAAAGGAAAAAAAAAGAGCACCCAAUACGAGAAGAUUUCAAAGCACUUUACUCACAUGUUAUGACCAUUUUGCAAAACUGCAAAAGAUAUGAUGCAAAACCUUUCUUGAUGAGCAAAGUGGAAGAGACUUGCUUGAUGGUGCAAUUCUAACUUAUGAUGCUCAAUUGUACAUUUAUAGAAGCAAGAAACUUGGGGGGCAUUUGGUAGAAUUGAUGCGACAAUUGGAAAAAUAAAAUCUCCAAAUUGCAUUAUAGUCCAAAAAAAAUAAUUGCUGUUAGGUACCAUAUUUUGUCAUGUAACCAGCAGCAAAAUUAAAGAUGAGAAUUGCCAGAUAGUUACCUAAAUUAUCAGCAAAGAAAUGCGACUUUGUUUCUUUUUGAAGACUCUUGUAUUUGUCCUUUCAACUUCAGAUGUUAUUUUCCUUCAAUUUCAUAAUUCUUGGCCUGAUUGCUGUCUCCUCUUGCUCAAUCAAGCCAUAAGAAAUUCCCUUUCUGCCUUUUUGUGAGUUUAGCCAUAAAAAAUUCUUAUCAUGCUGUAGAAAAGAACACUAGAGGAGGCAUAAUAUAGCAAACGACCUUUUAUACUUGUCUUUUUGUGAUAUUAGUCUACAUGUGCCCCUCAAGUAACAUUAAUUUGCUCUUUUUAUUUAUUUAUUUUAAGGCAAGCAACUUGUAAUAUUUGCUAUGCUUGCUUUUAAAUCUAUUGCUAUUUUGGACAAAUGGAUUGUUGUUUUACGAGAUUGGUAUUCUUUUAAAAAUUGUCAUAGUUUAGGAAUAUCCAGAAAUAGGUUCAGAAACAUCUAGGGAUCAGUUCCUCGGUGCAAAAGUCUUUCCAAUGAAAGACUCUGGUCAAGCCUUUUCAUGUAAUUUUGACAUCCAUUCUUUUAACGCCAUGUUUGUAAGUUCUUAGUUUUAAAAUUUGCUCCUUAAAAAAAAAAAAAAAGAAAAGAAAGCUUUGUUGUGUGCAAGUUUGUGCAUCACAACUCAAGUUGAAUGAAAAUAUCAAGUGCAUGAGCUAAGUCCAAUGGAAAAAAUGCAAAGUACAAUUAAUAAUUGGAUCAAGCAAUUGGCUGAAUGAGAAACUCGUCCAACCAUCUGCAAUCUGCUAAGUCUUUACUGUUGAUUGUGAAUCCCUUUACGUCAGAGUACUGGAAUCCGCCGUCUGAAGAGUUUGGGACAGCAAUUUUCGAAGAUUUGAAUGUACCUUUAUCCUGAACAUCCUUCAUUAUCCAGACCUCAUCCCCAAGCGGUGGAAACCAACAGGCUAAAGAAAGACAGCCCUGAUAUACCCCAAGCCGAGCAGUAGAAAAGUCGAGAGGAUUGCUUUCCGGUAACAGAAUCUCCUCAAACUUUUUCUCAACGUUGUUGAAUUUGAUCACUGAAUAUGCUGGUGCAUCUUUACCGCAGUUAACUUUAUACACAGGCCAAUGCAGAAUCCCAUUGAAUGCCGCAGGAAUCUGAAAAUCUUUGGUGCGGCUGAUGCUCAUAGGCGGCAUGUUGGUCAGGUCAACUGACCUCCAAAAAUUGCUCUUCGAACUAUAUAUCUCGACUAUACGGAACAUGAAAAUCUUGACAACUUUAUAAUCAUCGUUACGCUGGUCGAAGAAGAAUCCCAAAUCUGUGAAAUGUUCAAGAGAUUUGCUAUUGGGAAGUGCCCUGCGUUGAUGCAAUAAGGGAUUCCAGAGGUAUAUUUUCUUGGGACUGGAGCAAUUGCAAAUCUUGUGAACACAUAGGAUUCCAUUGCAGCAACCUGCAAGAAUGUAAUCAUCUGGAAGACAAAAGGGAGUUGUAAACAGGCUGAUUUUCCUCAGUCUCUCAAUCUCAAAUAGGGCAUAGUGACAGCUGCAUGAUUGUUUAUGAGAUUUCUUGCUGCAAACUAGAAGAGGAAGAUUUUUGUUGGUUUUGGGAGAUUUUUCCAUGGAUAUGACCGAGUACUUAUUGGAAUCGAAUAGACCUCUUUCCCAAAGCUUGCGGACUGCACUGAAUCGGACUAGAGAUUUCACAGGUAGUCUGCAAAAGAUGUCGAGAAUGGCACCGUUGGGACUGAAUUUGACGUCUCCAUCCUGAAAAUUUGUAACUUUCUCUGAGAAAUUUUAAGUUAACAAUGGUCAAGAAUAUGUCUCUUUUAGGAUUUGAAAAAAAAUCAGCGAGCUAAAAUGAAUGAAUUGAUAAAAAAAAUUUUGAUCAAUAAGAUGUCACAGGUUACAGAAAGAAGGAGCUGAGGGAAUAAAUAGAUGUACAUAUUAGAACUUACCAAAUUCUAUUUGGUUUAGGACAAUGUUUCUGAAGAUUAAUCCUAAUUGGUUUAGGACAAUGUUUAUAAAAUUUAAUCCUAGUUAGUUCAGAAGAAGCUUUCCUAAAAAGCUUACCAUUGUUUGCCUGGGACAAGAAAUCGUUGUUAAAAGAGAGGAGUAUCAGAUAGUGAGACGAUUUAAGUAUCAAGAAAAUUUUUAAAAAAAAAAGUUUCAAGAAAAUUAAAGAAAUUUUUGACUGAAAUUUCUUGUUCUGGGCUCUAAUGUUGACAAUCUUCUAACAAGAAAAAGGUCUACGCGGGACAAUUUUAAUAAUUAGAAGUACCAAAAUGUUUUCUACGACUUCGCAAGAAAAGUUGGGAAGAAGAUUGUUUUGGCCAAAAACUCUGGAGAUAUAUUCAAUAUAAGAAACUUCUUCCCAAAAAAAAAGGCAUGAAAGAAAAAAGGAAACAUCAGAAUAAUUAUAACCUGAAGAACUACAACAAUGAAGCUCAAUGAGAACCGCCCUAAUAUUACCCUUCACGCUGACAUUACAAUCCCAUUCCAAAAAAUUCUGCAGUAAUUUAGCUCCAAAUCUCCUAUACAAACCAUAAAUCAUUGCAGCCAUGAUUCUAUGAUCUUUGAAGCCCUAAAAGCAACAUUUGAGACAGUGACGAAUCCCCCAGCUUCACCGGUGUCUACAAAGCCAAGUCACAAGAAGCAAGAAAAUUGGUAGACUAUCCACCUGGAGCACUCAUCAAGUGAUGCUAAUGCAUUUUUAACCACCACCAUCAAAUUGAGAUUCUGAAGCAUCAAAGAUUGUUAAUAUACUUCACGUCACAAGUUGCUUUUAUCCAUCAGAAGACAGCAGAAUUUCACAAAGGACUCGUACGAAGCAACAAACUGGGAGAAGUAGGAGGAAGGAAUAUUAGUACCAAUUCUGUGGCAGUUUGAAGGAACAAAGAAAAGAAGUAGGGAAACUGAAGUAAAGAAGAAAAUGUACCACCGAGACAGGAGAAAGUAGAUGGAUAUACUUUGCAGGCCUGGAAUACAAUACAUCAACCAUAUAAGGUACUUGUCUAGCAAAAUAUAUGUCGAAUAAUAGCAUGCCAAGUUUGUACAGAAACUUGGCAUUAGCAUGCAUUUAAUGUUUGGUGAAAUAUCCUGAGACUGAGAGAUUGCCAUUUUAUAAGUUAGUAUAAAAACCUUAUACAGAAACAUUGAAUACUCUUUCAACCUUUGCUAUUUCACAAUGUAAGGUCAACUUGAUAUUUAGUACCAGACAACUAAUGGGCUGAUACAGAGCAAUUGGUAUAAUUGCAUUAACUAGGGAGGGCUAAGAAUCAAGUCCUGAUCAGGCACAGUUUUAGGCCAUCAUAUGACUUGCUAUUAAGUCAUCCUCAUGUGGCGUAAAUAAAUAUAUAUACAGACUUGGAUGGCUACAUACACACAAAUUACCUACAGUUAUCAUAUUCAGAAUAUUUAUACCAACCUCUUGUUAUACCGCUUCAUACAGAUGUUUAACUUGUCCAAAAGCUCAGCCGCCUUGUAGUUCAGACAAAAUGCAGGUUUUUUUUCUUUUUUUUGGGUAGGUACACAAAAUGCAGGUUCCUUUUCUAAUUUUCUCAAUUUUCGCAUUUUGUUUCGUAUGGAGGAAAAAAAUUACACACACGCAUGCACACAAAAGAAUGUUGAUGCAAUCACAAUGAAAGUACCAUAAAAAUGAAACCCAAAUCAAGAAACAGAAAAGGUGAUAAUAACUUCCGAACUGACACGUAACUUUUUAUAUGCAGCAGGAAAGAGAGAGUCGGGAAGUGUUCUAUCAAUUAGUCAACAUAAGAGAAAGAAAUUACCAAUUAACUUGGGAGAAGACAUUGUCAGGGGCCUCUCAACAAUGGGUCUGAUGCAUUGUCCUCAGUAAGUCAAACGUUCUUUGGAUGAUAUAGAAAGUACAAAAGAGGACAAACCAAAUCACUGGUCCAUUCCACCUAUAACUUUGCAGCAGUCACCUGUUUUCUUGAAUCGUUAGUAUUGCUAGCUAUCUUAUGGCUUGCAGGUGAAGACCCAAAAGCUCCCAAAGCAUCUAGGAAGAAGCUUUUAUUUGGGAUGAUUCCAUCUUUGUCCAUGUACAACAUCAAUUUUUUUACCAGCUCCUUCAUGUUUGCUUUAGUGUAGGCCUUGUACAAAAGCUUAUAGGUUGAACCAUCAAUAGAAAAUGUUCUAGAGGCAUGUAUACUCUCAAAAAGUGUGUCUGCUUCUAAUGGCAAACCAUUCAUGCAGUAGACAUCCAGCAUUGCAUUGAGUGUUGAAACCUUCUUCUCCUUCCCAGAUUCUCUCACCUUAUCAAAUAUCUCUCUUGCUUUGAAAACGCAGUCGCAAUAGCCAUACAUCAUAAUAACACAUUCAUAAGUGAUGAAAUUUGGGGAAUAUCCCAUGUCAGUGAUCUUCUGAAAAAUCAACUCUGCCUUGUCCCUCAGCCUUGCUUUUCCAUAGUUUGUGAUCAUUGAAUUAAAUGUGGGAAGUGUUGGUUUCUCCUUGGAAUGUAACAAGCUCUUAAAAACUUGUUCCAUCUUUUCAAAUUCUUGCUUUCUUCCAUAUGAAUCAAUCAACAAAUUAAAAGUAAUUAUAUCAGGUCUCAGCUGGUUACUCUUCAUUCGUGAUAGAACAGAUUCCAUUUCCCUAAUCAUCCCAUUUUUCCCAUAUGCAUCCAUCACUCCAUUAAACGUGAAGAUAUCAGGUGUAACAAUGCCCUCAUCAAGAUCUUUGAACAAUGCGUUAACUUGAUCAACAUCCCGUGCCUGAGCAAAUGCUCUCAAAAGGAUGUUAUACGUUACUACAUUAGGUGGACACCGUUCCAUUCCCUUCAUCUUACCAAAGUAUCCUAAAGCCUUAGCCAAGGCCUUGGCUUUAUCACGACUAUGAAGGUGGGCCGUGAUCAGUGCAUUAUACACUGAGGUGUCAGGUUUACAUCCACUAUUACGCAUCUCAGAGAAAAGCCACAUAGCUAUCCUCGUUUGUCCCUUCUUCCCCAUAACAGAUAUCAACUUCGAAUAAACACCAUUAUCUGCUAUAUACCACCGUUGCUUUUGCAUCCAUCUGAACACCUAAACAUUCAUUAUAUGUAAGUAUAACCAAGACCUCGUCCUUGAUAUUAACAACAGUACUACAUCACCACUGCCUUGCCUUCAUUCAAGCAAAUAAUUUACAGUCACUUGCCAGUAGCAAAACUGACAAUAAACAUUAUUCAAAAUUUGAUUUCUAGACAUGAAACAAAAUACUUAUUUUUUGAACCUACAGCCAAUGCACAUGAAGACAAACACUUACUUUUCAUUUCUCACUAUUUUGAAACAGUCUAAUCUGCACUAAGGGAUACAAAAACGACCCUAAUCUUUAACAUAGUAAACGGCAUAAUUUUGAUUAAAUUCGCAAAGAAAAUGAAAUCCAUAGUGCAUUGCACAGUCAUUAGCUCAGAGGCACAACACAUCCAUAAGAAAUGGAUAAAAAUUCAACGAACAUAUAAAAGAACCCAAUAGAACCCAUACAAUUAAUUAAGAACCGCAAUAACGAAUUGAGAAAAAGCCCAGAAUUCAAGAAAAGGGUUCAAACCUCCAGACACUGAAGCCACUUAUCAGUCUUGCCAAGCUCUUCAAAAAGCAAGAAACAAUGCUCAGUUCUCACAAGCUUCACAUACUUGUUCAAAGUGGCCACCAAAGGCUGCUUCUUUUCAUCAAAAUUCCUCAUUAAUAGACCAACCAGUUCCUCUGCUUCUGAAAUGGCCCUCUUGGUCUUUGUUCUCUUCUUCUUUGGCCUUGUGGGCACAUUGCUGAUGAUGCAAUAAAUGGGUUUUUUUCUGGCAAUACAUGGUUGAGAGACACUAAUGAAAUUCUGGGAAGAAUUGGGGUAAAAUUUUUGGAGAAGAAAUGCUGGUUUUGAUGGAGAGAAUUGCAGAGUUGCUGGGAAGUUUGAUGGAGUCAUAUUUUCUUUCGCUGGGGGCAGUGGACUGUGGAGUUUGGGAUUCGGCUUAGCUUGUGUGAAGACUGAAGAAGAUGUUGUCUGGAAUGACGAGAAUGCCCAUGCAGUAAGGAAUGAGGGGCAAAAAUGAAGGACCCGUAUUGGAUCGGGGUUUUGAACCCGACGUGAAUCGAACACGCAACCUUCUGAUCUGGAGUCAGACGCGCUACCAUUGCGCCACGGAUCCACUUGUUGUGAUAUCGGUAUAUUUUACAAUUAUUUUGAACCUCUGUGUAAGUGAAGUUUACUUUCUAAAUUACCACACGCAAGUUUAAUUGGGCAUGAGAAGGUUGUCGAAAUCUUUGUUGUUAUAUAUAAUAAGAUUUUAACUUGACAAAAAUGUAGGCAGCCAAUUAGAUAUAGAUAUUGUAAAUCAUCCAAUCAUCUAUGUCCAAUCUCUUUGGAAUUCUCCUCCAACUUUUAUUAAUCAUUUGAUGUUGGAUGAUUUUUAACAAUCUUAAUGAGUAUUAACAAAGUUUAAUAAUUUAAUUACUGAUAAUUGAUCGAUGUAAACCCUUACAUUUUUGUUUGCUGUCUAAGUGACCAAUCUAUAUACACCAUUAUUAGUUUUUGUUUACCCCUUAAAAACACCCUUUUCUAGAUAUGCAACUUCUUGCCCAACUAGUCAUUCAUUUCAUUUCAAGAUAAUGAACACAUUACUAGGAUAUGCCAAAUAACCUCAUAUGUAAGUACAUAUUAGUGGUUCAGGCAUACCCCACCCACUGUCGUGUUCUUUUCUUUGAGCUUCUAGACGAAAGUACGAAUUUAUCCCUUUACCUGCUUCAUAUCUUAGAUCAUUAUAUUUUUCUUCCAUUCCUAAGCAAACUGAGUAUGAAUUCAAUCAAAUUGAAAUCACUGUGGAGAGUAGCUUGCAGUUGACUUUUAGAUCUUCAAUUGCUUCACAGUAGAAAAUCAAAUGUGCAAGUUGGUGUCCUUGACCAUAACACUAUUUGAAAGAGCCACUACAGCUUUUUUUUUUUGUUGCCCGCCCGGUAUUCGAAGCUUUGCCCCGACUAAUCCGGAUCCGACCCGCGUCGCGCACCUGGCUAUGGUGGGUGAGUCUCCCAACAGGGGUGUCUGCGUACACUAGGACUCGAACACGAGACCUGUUUAAGCGAAUCCGAACCGCUUACCACUCGUACCAACCCCUGUUGGUAGCCACUACAGCUUUCCUUGACUAAUAAAGGGGAAAAAAACACGAUUGAUUUCUUUAUCUAUGCAAUCAAUAAAGACAUAUAUAAUGACGUAAUCCACAAAAAAAAUGAGAGAAAUAACAAACUAUGUAACAUGUAACUAGAAAAAAAUAUGAUUGAUUUCUUUAUUUGUGUAAUCAGUAGAGCCAUAUGUAAUGAUGUAAUCUAUAGAAAAUGAGAGAAAUGGCAAAUUAUGUAACAUAUAACUAACUCAGUCUAGCUGAAUUUGCCAUUAAGUAAGGAUUUAAAACUAUCAUUAAGUAUAGGUCAAGAGAUCAAAUUUUUUGACUUGCGUUAUUCUCCCAAUUUCCUGAAAGUUUCAUAAUGGGUGCAUCGGCAUUUGUUUGAUCUGUUGACGAUUCAAUCCCUUAAGAUUUUUCGUUGAUCUCUUUAGGUUUGACCAUUUCCUGUACCUAGAAUAAGAGGACUUAUCUUUUCGAAAAAAAGAAAAAAACAACAAACUCUGUAACAUGUGACAAUUGAUGGGAACCACAAUGUCAUCACUUUCUGUUCGGAUGUCUUUUUUUUUUGCCAGCAACGAUACAUUGUAUAACUUACUCUAUCAUAAUUUAGGGAGAAAGGGAGCCUAAGGAGGCUUGUGUUAGGGGUUAGUGGGUAUAUAGAUCCAACUAGAUCAAGGGAGUGUUAUGGCACUACCCUUAAAUUUUUUUUGCUGCAGGUGAGGGUUCAGGGACCUGGUGACCACUGAGUUUAGAUUUGUUCGGAUGUCAAUUUCAGUGAACAUAUGGCGUUGAACAUCUUCCCAUCUUGCCAUAAAAAUAUCUGGAAAAGCACAGGAGAAGUCAGCUGUAUCUGGCAUGGGGACAAGGGGCAGUGCAACCAUUCCUGGCGGUUUUGGUCAUUUUCAACAACGCGUAACUUUGGUUGCACACGGCGUAACUUUGUUUACACAACGUGUAACUUUAGUACAAAAUUUUGCGGGCUCCACACACGUUGCACACGGCGUAACUGAUGACCGCUCCUGCCCCUUAGAUUGAUAUUUCACAGCCUUUACGUUAGAGAGUGUAUACAGGAAAAUCCUACAGUAAGGCACGCACAAUCAACGAUAGUGAUAGAAAUAAAUUAAAAGAUGGUUCAGUUCCCAAAUUUUAGAGAUUUUUAUUUUCGUGUAAAAUGGAUCUUUUAUCUCCUUUUUUGUUUCAUUUUUAUUAUAUUUUUUUUUCUUCAUAAAUAUUAUAUUUUAAUUCUUUUUUGUUAUUUUAAGAUUCAAUAACUAUUAAUUGAAUAAAAAAAUAAAUAAAAUAGCCUUACAAAACAAUGCAUAAUAUUAGACGAAAGUACGAAUUUAUUUCUUUACCUACUUCAUAUCUUAGGUCAUUAUUUUUCUUCCAUUCCUAAGCAAACUGAGUAUGAAUUUAAUCAAAUUGAAAUCACUGUGGAGAGUAGCUUGCAAUUGACUUUUAGAUCUUCAAUUGCUUCACGGAUCCAACAGUAGAAAAUCAAAUGUGCAAGUUGGUGUCCUUGACCAUAACAGUAGUUGUAUUUAAAAAAACCACUACAGCUUUACUUGUCUAAUAAAGAGGAAAAAAAGACGGUUGAUUUCUUUAUUUUUAUAAUCAAUGAAAACAUAUAUAAUGAUGUAAUCCAUAAAAAAAAUGAGAGAAAUGGCAAACUAUGUAACAUGUAACUAAAAAAAAUAUAUGAUUGAUUUCUUUAUUUCUGUAAUCAGUAGAGACAUAUGUAAUGACGUAAUUCAUAAAAAUGAAAGAAAUGGAAAACUAUGUAACAUAUAACUAACUCAGUCUAGUUGAAUUGGCCAUCAAGAAAUCAAAUCCCUUAAGAUUUUUUGGUGAUCUCUCUUUAGGUUUGACCACUCCCUGUACCUAGAAUAGGAGGACUUAUCGUUUUCGAAAAAAUCAAAAAACAACAAACUCUGUAACAUGUAAGAAUGGUGACAGUUGACGGGAGCCGGAACGCCACCACUUUCUAGUCGGAUGUCAAUUUGACUGAACGUAUGGCGUUGAACAUCUCCCCAUCUUGCCAGAAAAAUAUCUGCAAAAGCACAGGAGAAGAAGUCAGCUGUAUCUGGUAUGGAGCUUGAUAUUUGACAGCCUUUACGUUAGAGUGUGUAUACAGGAAAAUCCUAUAGUAAAGCACGCACAAUCAGCGAUAGCGAUAGAAAUAAAUUAAGAGAUAGUUCAGUUCCCAAAUUUUAGAAAUUUUUUUAUUUUCGUGUAAAACGGAUCUUUUAUCCCAUUUUUUGUUUCAUUUUUAUUAUAUUGUUAUUUUUUUCUUUAUAAAUAUUAUAUUUUAAUUCUUUUUUGUUAUUUUAAAAUUCAAUAACUAUUAACUGAAUAAAAAAUAAAUAAAAUAACCUUAAAAAAAUAAUAACAAAUUAAAAAAUACAGCAAAAAAUUCAUAAAAAAUCUCAUUUUUUAUGCAUUUUGAUUUUUUUUGAUUUUUUGAGUUCGUUAAAUUUUGUGUAAUACUCAGUUAAAUUCAUAAAAGUUUUUGAGUUCGUUAAAUUUUAUGUAUUACACAGUUAAUAGUUAUUAAAUUUUAAGAAAAUAAAAAAAAUAUAAUAUUUAUGAAAGAAAAAUAAUAAUAUAAUAAAAAGUGAAAAGAGAGUUACAGAGAAGAUCGUUGUAAUAUUCGCGUCUAUGUGCUUAGAAAUGUGAUAAGUUUCAGUCAGCUUGUUGUAGGUAGGUGAACUCUGUACGUAAUACAAUUUUUCUAUGUGCUUAGAAAUGUGAUUAGUUUCAGUCAGCUUCUUGUGGGUAGGUGAACUCUGUACGUAAUACAAUUUUUCUAUGUGCUUAGAAAUGUGAUUAGUUUCAGUCAGCUUCUUGUGGGUAGGUGAACUCUGUACGUAAUACAAUUUUUCAUUCACAACCGUCAAAUUAUUACGCUUUACACAUAGUUAUCCAAUACGACUACUAGACAUAAAUAGCUGCUGUGAGGCCCAUUCUUAGAUCAGAAAAAAAGAAGCACUAGAAUACCAUUAAGCAAACUGAGAAAGAUGAUGAGCAUUCAUUGGCUAUGGACAGCUCUAGCCUUGGCUGCAGUCUGGUUUUUUCUUCAAGACUUGUUCUUGAUGAAGAAGAGAAAGAGAUUUCCUCCAGGUCCAAAAGGGCUUCCUAUUAUAGGAAAUCUGCAUCUGUUAGGCAAGAAUCCUCAUCAAGAUUUGGCAAAACUAGCCAAAAAGCAUGGCCCUUUAAUGUACAUGCGAUUCGGUUAUGUCCCAGCAAUCAUUGUCUCAUCCCCUGAAGCAGCUGAAAAGUUUCUCAAGACUUACGAUCAAGUUUUUGCUAGUAGGCCUUAUCAUGAAUCUUCUUGGUACGUUAGUUAUGAGCAAAGGAACUUGUCUUUUGCCCAAUAUGGACCGUAUUGGCGAAACAUGCGUAAGCUUUGCAUUCUGCAGCUGCUCAGUAGCCACAAAAUCAAUUCAUUUCUGCCAAUGAGAAGAGAAGAGGUUGGAACAUUGGUUAAAUCACUCAAACAGGCUGCCUCAGAUGGUGCUGCUGUUGACCUUAGUGCAGCAAUUUCUUCCUUGGGUGCAAAUAUGAGUUGCUUGAUGAUAUUUGGGAAGAAAUAUAUGGACAAGGAUUUUGAUGAUAGGGGGUUUAGAGAUGUCAUUGGAGAAGCACUUCGUCUUGGGGCCACGCCUAACCUCGGUGACUACUUUCCUCUGCUUGGUGUGCUUGACCUUCAGGGACUUACUCGCCGGUUUAAGGAUCUUGCCAAGGUGUUUGAUAAUUUUUUUGAGAAAAUCAUUGAUGAGCAUCUACAGUCUCAGGAGCACAAGCAAACCAAGGACGUUGUAGACAUCAUGAUGGGAAUUAUGCAAUCUGGAGAAGCUGAGUUUGAGUUCGACCGUCGUCAUGUCAAAGCCGUCUUGUUGGUAUGUUUUAGACCGUUUCUGGUUUGCUGGUUUAUUGUUCAUAUACGUUGCCCAUAGCACCAGAUUUUUGUAUUGCUUGUUGAAUUUGUUAUUAGCUUUUUUCUACAAAAUUUUCGGUUAGUCAUAACUUCUGGACUAAACAAAUUCAAAUAACUAAAUCUGUCGUUAGUUGACAAAAUUUUGCACCUUAAAACAUGAUCUGGAAUUCUGUGUUCUUACUUUCUUCAAAAUAAUACCAGCGUUCUUUUCUGAGGCUCUCAUUUGUUUAUCUGUUGAGAAAGGGAUUGUUUCAUAGCCAAAUCAAAUAAUUGCAAUCCUUGCAACAAAUGAAGACAAAUUUGAUACCUAUUUUGAUCUUGACAUUAUGCCUAACUCCGCCAAUUCCUUACCUCAACUGCACAGGAUUUGCUUGUAGCCUCAAUGGACACCUCAGUCACGGCUGUUGAAUGGGCGAUCUCAGAACUCCUCAGGCGUCCUGAGGCAAUGAGAAAACUCCAGAAAGAGUUGGAAGACAAAGUUGGAUUGGAGAGGACUGUGGAGGAAUCAGACGUUGAAGGCCUGGAAUAUUUGGACAUGGUUAUCAAAGAAACCAUGAGGCUUCAUCCUGUGGCCCCACUAUUGCUUCCCCAUGAGUCAAUGGAAGAUUGCACAGUUGAUGACUUCCACAUUCAGAAAAAAUCAAGGAUCAUCAUAAACGUAUACGCAAUUGGACACGACCCAAAUGUCUGGCCUGAUCCUGAGACCUUCAUCCCUGAAAGAUUCAAAGAUAGCAAUAUAGACCUUCGGGGGCAAGAUUUUCAACUCAUACCAUUUGGCUCAGGCAGAAGAGGCUGCCCUGGUUUGCAGUUGGGGAUCCUCCUUGUUCGUUUUGUGCUGGCACAGUUGGUGCAUUGCUUCAAUUGGGAACCUGCAGAUAAUAUAAAGUCAACUGAUUUGGAUAUGUCGGAGACUUUUGGCUUAGUACUCUCAAGAGCAAAGCAUUUAAAGGUUGUACCUACUUACCGAUUACAAGAAUGAGUAGACAGUGUGGGCUCCAACUUUUAUCUAUAUGUCUGUCUAGCUAUACUCUCUUUAGAAGUAUCACAAAUUUUAUUUGAUUGAGAGCGUAAGCAAAAUUUGGUUCUAGUUUUGUUGAUGCUCAAAUUUCCCUGUAAACAAUAAUUGCAUACAUUGCAUUGGAUUUGAAUAGUAAUGACAUAAUCAAGGAUAAAUUACAUAUAAUCCCCUAUGGUUGCAUAACGACAGAUGACUCCUCUAGGAUUCCAAAAUAACCACUUAAUUCUUUUGUGGUUUUAUGUAAAAUGUAAAAUGAAUAAAAUGCAUAAUUAAUUACCGCGAUCAGAUCACACGUGCACUAAAAGUGUGUGUGAUCAAAUCUUAUUAUCCAUUUAAAUCCCCUAUGAUUUGUAUAAAUAUCCACUUUAUCCUUCUGUGUUUUUGGCAUUUAUCUACAUAAUCCCUUUAUGAUUUUGUAUAAAGUGGUUAAGUCAUCAUUUGAUCGAGCAUUUAAGUAAGGGCACUACUAAUAUUUCAAUUAAUGAUGUUAUAAAGGCUAUUUUCUUCUAAAUUUCUAGUUUACAUGAAACCAUAUAGGAGUAAAGUAGAUAUUUUGAAAUAUUAUGAGAUUAUGUGGCAAUAGAUAAAACCACAUGGGGACUAAUGGUAAUUUGCCCUAUCAAUCAUGUUAACCAUUAGAAAAAUGAAGGCUGCAAUAUACUUCUAAUUGAACUAGCACUAUGAAACAUUUAUAACCCAUCAUUAAUAGAAAAAAAAUAGAAUGGAAAAAAAUUCACUAAAUAAAAAUUAUAAAAUGACAUAAAGGACAACAAGAAGUUAAUCACAAAGUUGAAAAUUUCAAAUUAAAUGACAUAAAAAAAAGAAAAAAUUUAGGUCACUCAAAUCCCUUGGAAAGACAAAAACAUUUGAUGCAGAUACCAAAACAAUAGUAUAAAAAGAAAAGGCGCCCUCAAUAGUGAAUAUAAGCUAAAUUUUCCAUUCGGUUGUCACUUCUACCUUAAACAUUGUAUUGAUAUAUAAGUGCAGUACUAUCAAUAUUUGAUGUUUUAGGGUUAAAGUGACAAAAUAUCUAAACAGUUCAGUAAAGAAAAGUUUUGAAAAGGUUGAUCUAUAAUUGUACUUUCAAAUAAUAUUUUGAAAAAUAAUUGGUUAAAGAAAAUAGAAACAUAGCAAUUUAUAUUAUGAUGUUAACAAUCGGAAUUCCACAAUUUUAAUAUCUAAAAGAAUAUUAUAUUUUUGAAUAAUAUAAUCACAUGUAAGUUUUUUCUUUUCUAAUAAUAAUCACGUGUAAGAUAUGUGAGCUAUCAUUAGUUUCUGAAAAUGUUAACAAAGACGUAUUAGCAAGGCAUACUUAAUUCAAGACUUUGCAUGCACUUUUGUGUCUUCUUUAACGUUUUUCUGGUUGCUUCUUUUCAAUUCAUAGAUGACACAAACAUUUGCCUAUUUGUCAAUUUUGUUACUUUUGUUUCCAUCUCUUUCUAAAGAAGCUGCUUCCUUUAACACAAUAAAAAUAUUACAAUAUACUAGUUAAUAAACAUUUUUCCUUGAACUUGAAAGCCAGGAUAUGAAUUGAGUUUUCUACCUUCUCAUCUAAAUUUGACUUAAUGGUACAUCUUAGAUGGUUAAUUUUAUUUCAUUCAAGUGCGAGCUGAGUGUCGCGCCCCAAAUUUAAAUGAAAGGAAAAGUGUAAGAAAAAUGAGUUUUUUUUUUAUUUUAGAAAAUAAAGAUGUGUACCUUAAAAAAUGCGACGGUUUGGGCUCAAAACUUAGUCUAAAAGGGUUUUUAAGAAAAUAGAAAUUGCCACUUGGUAUCGAAUUUAAGUGUACCAAAUCACCCAAAAAUGUUUUUAACAAAAAUAAAACAAAAUAAAAAUAAAACACUUUUCACAAUUCCAAAUAUUUGAAAAACAAUAGGAAAUGAGUUCGAGAAUCACGGUUGAAGCAAAGAAAGGCAAAUGUUCGAUUGAUUCAAAGUUAAGGCACCCUUUCAACCUAGUCUAAACUAAUUGCAAGAUUUAGUCAAAAUUUUUUUAAUUUAACCUUUAAAUUUAUCACAUUUGAAUGCUUCCUAUAUAAAUGCAAACCUAAACUUAAAAGAGGAUAUCGAAAGGGAUAAAAUGUCCAUUCAAGAUCUAAUUGGUAUCAAUCGUAUUAAUUGCAUAGUCCAAAUUAAUCCAUUGAAAAGAUCACGAAUAUGCAAAGAUGAAAUUUGAAAAAAGAAAAUUAAAUUAUAUACAAAAGUAUAAGUGACCAAAGAAAAUGGAAUGCAACAUGAUGGGUACGGAGAACUAAAAUUUGUGACUCGAUCUUUCUACUUAUAGAGAGGAAUAUGAGCAUGUUAGGGCUAAAAAAAAUCAUACUCGUCUAUUUCCCUUAUUCGAAGGGUGAUUCUUCUAACUUAUGCAAGCAAAUGAACUAACAUAUUCCCUAAUUACUUAAAUAAAAUACAAGUCUAAAUAACAUGGUUUGCACAUGUAGGGAUAAGGGAUUAAUAUAGAGGAUAUAUCAUGCAAAUCGUAAUAACCUAAAAAUGAAAAAAAUGCAUAAAAUACAAUAAAUGUCAUAUAAAGUAUGAAUCUAUCAUGUAAACGGUCUAAAGGGUUUAACAUUGGACUAACCCAAUUCUAUAAGUUAUCACUAGCGUUGGACUAGAGAGAAAUCGGGAGAAAAGUCACAACUAGUAUUGGACUAGUGUGGUAAUGUCAUGUAUUCAUUAUAAAUAAAUAAAUAAAGCAUAUAAAGUAUAAAUAAAACAAAUAAAUAAAUAAAACAUAUAGAGCACAUAACACAUAAAAUAUAAUAUCUAAAAACAAAAACCCUAAGAAAGCGAAAGAACGUAUAACCACACAAGUAUGCAAGCAAAUAAAAACCUAACCAUUACAUUUGAGAGUCCUAACUACAAUCUAAAAGGAGAGUUUUGACAAUAAUAAAUCUAUCUAUUACAUUUAUCUAACUAAUUACAUGUUUUGCAAACAACAAAAAUUAGUUGUUACAUUGCCUAUCUAAUUGCAUUUCUUGCACAAGAGGGUACGAUCUAUCUAUUACAAUUUGGCAUUUAAAUGCCUUUCAAAUAAACAUUGAAAUUAAAUAAUAAAUAAAAUCUAAGAAUGGAUGAAAUGAGUAAAUAAAAAUACAUAAAACAUACAAUCACACAUAAAAAACACAUAGGAGCACAUAAAAAGAGUUUAAAGAAUAAUAGAGGGUACCUUUUUUGAAAUAGUGGUUAAAUGAGAUAGAGUUUGCCUUAUUUUACUCCAAAACCAACAAAAUGAUCAAGGCACCAAUUUAAUUUAUAACACUUUAAAAGAAAAUGUAAACAUAUAGCAAAUUCACCUUAUUAUUUUUUAAAAAAUAUGAAUAAAUAUAAAAAUCCCUAACAUUUACAAAUUAGAUGCAUUUAAAUGAAGCAUGAUUAACAAUUAAAAAAAGAUAAACAAUUGUACUUAAGAAAACAAAAACCAUUAGGGACUAAAUUUCAAAAAUUAGAAGGUUUUCAAGAUCAAAAAAUAUUUUAAAAAAAUUAGGGGUCAAAAUCAAGUAAAAAUAAAGUUUAGGGACCAACAUGUAAUUAAAUUAAGGACUUAAGUGAAAUAAAUUCAAAAUUUAGGGUUAUAAUAAAAUUAUUUGAAAGAUCAGGGGCCAAAUUGCAAAAUUCAUUUCUGAUUUGCCAAAAUUGCAUACAAAAACCUUGUUGGGCCAUUUUAGGGUAAUUGUGCUGCACCACCUUGGCCCGAGAAAAUUAAACCAAAUUGUAUCAUUAAGGAAAAUAUCCCGACCCGACUUAUUCUACCAAAAACUUAACAAAAGUAUUGGGAUUGAAUUUUGUAGCCCAACCAUAAACUUAAGCAAAAAAAUAAACAUUAGCCAUUUCUUAGCCCACAAACAUAAAUAACCUCAACUCAACUAGUUUUGACACAACAAACAAAACAAAGAAAAAUGAGAAAAACAAAAGCAGAAAGAGGAUGAAGAUUUCGACGGGUCAGCCCGUCGGGAUCUGAAAAAAUUUCGACCAUAAAUCUCGUUGGAAGUUAUUUUUAAGGGGGUUUAAGGUCGGAUUUUGAUAUAAACAUGCUCUUCACAGUCUCAUGAGUUCAUUUAAAUAUCAAACAAACCCAUGAAACACCACAAAUCAUGAGAAGAAUGAGAUCUAAGACUUAAACCUACGGAAACACAUGUAAUGGUUUAAAAUCACAUGCACAACAUUAAAUCAACCAAGGAAGGAUGCCAUAGUUACCCAGGGAUGAUGUUGAACUCAAGUAGACAUGGGAAAUCGCAAGAAAACACACCCACCUUCUUGGAUCGAAGCAAACUCGACCCAACUACAGAAAUUCAAGUGCUGAUGAACUGUCAACUUCGUGCUUGAAUUCGAGGGAUCUAGAGGCAUUUUUUCAGGAAAUUUUCAAAAUGAAAGUUGCUCCCCUACAAUCGUAGAUGGUACAUUAACAAAGAUCUCGCUCAAUAGACUUCGGAUGAAGUCCAAAACCGAGACAAACAGCGCUGGUUCGUCAGCCCUGUUUUGAUGUUUUUCUUCUUUUUUUUUUUUUUAAGAAAAAAAUCUCUUGUUUUUCUCCUUUUUCUCUCCCCUAUGCUUAGCCGACUUUCCUAACCAUCUCCCUCUCUCUAAAAGCUGCAUUAUUUUCUAUUUAUAAGGGACAAA
rnacentral:lncRNA from 1 species